AACGAACGCUGGCGGCAUGCCUAACACAUGCAAGUCGAACGAGACCUCCGGGUCUUGUGGCGCACGGGUGCGUAACGCGUGGGAACCUGCCCUUAGGUUCGGAAUAACUCCCCGAAAGGGGUGCUAAUACCGGAUAAUGUCUUCGGACCAAAGAUUUAUCGCCUUGGGAUGGGCCCGCGUUGGAUUCGCUAGUUGGUAGGGUAAAAGCAUACCAAGGCGACGUUCCAUAGCUGGUCUGAGAGGAUGAUUAGCCACACUGGGACUGAGACACGGCCCAGAAUCCUACGGAAGGGAGGAGUGGAGAAUAUUGGACAAUGGGGGAAGGCCUGAUCCAGCCAUGCCGGGUAAGUGAUGAAGGCCUUAGGGUUGUAAUGCUCUUUUACCCGGGAUGAUAAUGACGGUACCGGGAGAAUAAGCUCCGGCUAACUACGUG
rnacentral:rRNA from 1 species